AGAAUUAUUACACAACCCUUCUAACUUCUGCUUUUUUUCUCUUCCUUUCCUUUCUGUUUUCUCUAUCUAUCUCUUUUACAUGUAUGGAGAUGCUGUUCCUGCUCUGCUCCCUGCUCUGCUCCCUGCUCUGCUCCCUGCUCUGCUCUCUGGUCUGCUGCUGUGCUGGUCUGCUGCUGUGCUGCUCUGCUGCUGAAAGCUUGCUUUAAUCUUCAGCUUCUACACUUUUCUCUGUUUUCUUCUCUUUUACUCUCUUCACACUUACUAAUCCACUUUUAGUCUGCUUCCUCUUUGCUCUACACACCUAUUAAUCCACUCUCAGUCUACUUUUAUAGACUUUUUCCUCAGGUUUGCUGGAUUAGCUGUUUGCUGCUGCAGUUUGUUUGUGUAAGUUUCUAAUUUCAACUGAAACAAGUUACUGACUGCCCACCUGUCUGACCCGAUACCGAUGUUGGACCCUCAGGCUCUCGCGUCUCCUGUCCAGCCAGACUGAUGGAAGUUUCUGAAGUCAGCUCUUCUCCACCACCACCACAGAUCAGCUGCUCAUCGACCAUCUUACUCUCCACUACAGAUUACAUCCAAGCCAUUAGUGGCGCUAUUACACUCCUGAGUACAUAAAACCUAUAUGGAUGUAUAAAAGACUUUUUAAAUUUUAAUUUAAAAGCCGUUUGACCAGUGGUAGGAUGGUCCCCCCUUUAAUGUGAGUCUUGGUCCUCCCAAGGUUUCUUCCUCCUCCUGCAGCUCUGAGGGAGUUUUUCCUUGCCUCCGCGCUCACUGGGGGUUCUGUAUUAUGUAUAUUCUAUGUUUAAUGUUUUGCCUGAUUCUUUGUCCUGUAAUCAUGUUUCUGUAAAGCUGCUUUGUGCCAACACCUGUUGUAAAAAGCGCUAUACAAAUAAAUUUGAUUUGAUUUGAUUUGA